rnacentral:rRNA from 1 species
GAUGACGAUCGCCCGCGCGCCCGCCGCGUUCAGCCGCGCGAUGUGCGCGGCGUGCGCGCCGGCGUCGCCCGCGAUGGCGACCCACAGGUCGGCCGCGCGCGGCUGCUCCGGCGGCGCGAGACAGAUCCGCGUGCGCACGGCCGGCCGCGGCCACGCACCGAGCGUCGCGCGAAUCCGCUCGGCGGCCUCGGUAAGCUCGUCGGCGGGCGGCCAGAACGCGUCGGGCAACGCGGCGCUCAUGCGUGGCUCCCGUCCUGGUGCCAGAACGGCAUGCCGACGACGGGCGUGCUCGCGUGCGCGCUCUCGCGCGCAUCCAUCGGCCCCGCGAGAUACGCGGCGCGCCCCGCCUCGACGCCCCGUGCGAACGCGCGCGCCAUGAUUUCCGGAUGCGUCGCCUGCGACACGGCCGUGUUCAGCAACACGCCGUCGAAGCCCCACUCCAUCACCUGGCACGCGUGCGACGGCACGCCGAGCCCCGCGUCAACGAUGAGCGGCACGUCCGGCAGCCGCUCGCGCAGCACGCGCAGCCCGUACGGAUUCACGAUGCCCUUGCCGGUGCCGAUCGGCGCGCCCCACGGCAUCAGCGCCUCGCAGCCGGCGUCGAGCAGGCGCCGGGCGAUCACGAGAUCCUCGGUGCAAUACGGCAGCACCUUGAAGCCGUCCUUCACGAGCAGCGUCGCCGCUUCGAUCAAGCCGACCGGGUCCGGCUGCAACGUGUAGUCGUCGCCGAUCAGCUCGAGCUUGAUCCAGUCGGUCUCGAAUACCUCGCGCGCCAUCUGUGCGGUCGUCACCGCCUCGGCGAUCGUCUGGCAGCCCGCCGUGUUUGGCAAGAGCGGCACGUCGUGGCGCUUGAGCAGCUCGAAGAAACCGGCCUCGGCCGCGCCGGCGUUCAUCUGGCGACGCAGCGCGACCGUCACCAUGCCCGGGCGCGCGGCCGCGAUCGAAUCGGACAGCGAUUGCAGCGACGGAUAGCGCGACGUGCCGAGCAGCACGCGGCUCGCGAAGGUUUGGCCGUGCAGCGUGAGCGUAUCGGCGGAAGAAAGAGGCGUCAUCGGAAGAUCCUGUGGGAACGGGGAGCGGGGGCGAGGCGCGCGCGGCGGCGCGUCAGCCGCCCGCGACCGGAUGCACGAUGUCGAGCUUGUCGCCCGCGGCGAGCGCACGCGCCGCAUGCUGCGUGCGCGCGACGAACGCGCCGUUGACCGCGACCGCGAACGGCGGUCGCGCGCCGUAUGCGGCGAGCGCGUCGGCCACCGUCGCGCCGUCGGGCAGCGAGAACGUCUGUUGGUUGACCUGGAUGUCCAUGAUGGCUGUCGAUGUCGAUUGAUCGGAAUUGGCCGGCUCGUCCGGCGCUCACGCGGACGCGUGCGCCGCGCGCUGCUGCAGCAGCGCCGGCCAGCG